GGUUCAGGACGAACGCUGGCGGCGUGCCUAAUACAUGCAAGUCGAACGGUCUUUCUAUGGAAGCUUGCUUCCACUGAGAAGAUAGUGGCGAACGGGUGAGUAACACGUGGGUAACCUGCCCAUAAGAGGGGGGAUAACAUCCGGAAACGGGUGCUAAUACCGCAUAGUUUUCUUGAUCGCAUGAUCGGGAAAGGAAAGACGGCCUUUGUGCUGUCGCUUAUGGAUGGACCCGCGGCGUAUUAGUUAGUUGGUGAGGUAACGGCUCACCAAGACGAUGAUACGUAGCCGACCUGAGAGGGUGAUCGGCCACAUUGGGACUGAGACACGGCCCAAACUCCUACGGGAGGCAGCAGUAGGGAAUCUUCCGCAAUGGACGAAAGUCUGACGGAGCAACGCCGCGUGAGUGAAAGAAGGUUUUCGGAUCGUAAAACUCUGUUGUCAGAGAAGAACAAGUUGGAGAGUAACUGCUCCAGCCUUGACGGUAUCUGACCAGAAAGCCACGGCUAACUACGUGCCAGCCGCCGC
rnacentral:rRNA from 1 species